GAGGAAAAAGACAUUAUACACUUAGAGUUCUUUAUCUAUUAUUUAAUGAUAAACAUAUAACAAAACCAAAAUAAAAAGUUUUUUUUUCCAUGGGCUUUGUUGGUUUUCUGAUGCUUUGUUUUUCAAGAAAAAAUACAAUAACCAAAAUAAUUAUUUCGACAACACAACUAGAACUUUAAUAUUAAUAUGGAUGCAAAAUAGUUAACAUUUUAAUAUGCCAUCAUUACUGGAACACACGAUUCUUUGAUCUUGCUGCAGUGCAUUCUGGGAUUGCUUUCUCUCAGAAGGACACACGUGACGCUGUCUUACAGUGUGGUCAAAACAUAGUAUCCUUUACACCUAUGAUGCCUUAAAAUAUAAGACAAGGUUUCUCUUGCAAAAACAUGAAGAAACACUCUCAAAACAACACCACAACACUUUCAGUUCAGCACUGACCUAGAAAAGUGAAUGGCUUUAUUGUGAGGAGAGCAGAAACAUGCUAAUGAGGGUAAAUCGCACUGGUUUAAUCAGGCCGCGUGUGAGAACGAGUCACAUCCAGUCAAAACCUGCCAGAACAGAAAUAAUCAUCAGACUCACGUGCAGAAGAGUGUCGAUAAAUCACUCGCUUUAUUCAGCAGAAAGUUCAACAACAGAACACAAGCCAUGUCUUUAACUGGGUCGUUUUCCAGCAGUCAGCUGUCAAUAAACAUCCAGGAAUUCCCAGACAUCGGAUACGCACCGCUCCCUUCAGAAAGGGCUUUUGUCCAAUUCAAAGCAGCAGAUUUCCUUACAGUAACUGAUGCCUUAAAGCAGGAUAACCAAUAGUCAUCAUGCGCUUUCUGUGUGCAUUUCAUGACACAAAAGUGGAUGCUUGGCAUUCUGUAUUUGGCCUCAUUUGAGGUCACACUUGGGAAAGAAAUUGGGAGAAAAGCUUUCGGAAAAGCGUUUGGCAUCACUGACAUCCAGCCUGGUGCAAAGCAACUAGAAGCAAAGGAAGAAAAUUGUAAAGUGAGGAAAAAAGGAAGAAAGAAAAUAACCAAAGAAAACUGCCUCAAAUGA
ensembl:lncRNA